UACGUAGGGGGCAAGCGUUGUCCGGAAUCAUUGGGCGUAAAGCGCGUGUAGGCGGUUCGGUAAGUCGGCUGUGAAAGUCCAGGGCUCAACCCUGGGAUGCCGGUGGAUACUGUCGGGCUAGAGUGCGGAAGAGGCGAGUGGAAUUCCUGGUGUAGCGGUGAAAUGCGCAGAUAUCAGGAGGAACACCAAUUGCGAAGGCAGCUCGCUGGGACGUUACUGACGCUGAGACGCGAAAGCGUGGGGAGCAAACAGG
rnacentral:rRNA from 1 species